rnacentral:rRNA from 1 species
CCCCGCCGGAAGACCAAGGGUUCCUGGGCCAGGCUAAUCCGCCCAGGGUGAGUCGGGACCUAAGGCGAGGCCGACAGGCGUAGUCGAUGGACAACGGGUUGAUAUUCCCGUACCCGCGAAGGAACGCCCAUGCUCAGGCCAGGGAUGCUGACCCACCGAAACCGCUCCGUCUCCUUUGGGAGGUGGGGUGGGAGUAGCUGGGGACCCGAACUGGUAGUAGGCAAGCGAUGGGGUGACGCAGGAAGGUAGUCGGGCCGGUGAGUGGUAGUACCGGUGCAAGGGUGUGGCCCGUGCCAUAGGUAAAUCCGUGGCACAUGUGGGUGAGGCCUGACGCAUAGCCGAAUGAGGCGAAUCCGAUGAUCCUAUGCUGCCGAGAAAAGCCUCUAGCGAGUUCCGAGCGGCCCGUACCCCAAACCAACUCAGGUGGUCAGGUAGAGAAUACCGAGGCGAUCGAGCGAACUGUGGUUAAGGAACUCGGCAAAAUGCCCCCGUAACUUCGGGAGAAGGGGGACCCUCGCCCGUCAACCGCCUCGCGCGGGGCAGCGGAGGGGGGUCGCAGAGACCAGUGAGAAGCGACUGUUUACUAAAAACACAGGUCCGUGCGAAGUCGUAAGACGAUGUAUACGGACUGACGCCUGCCCGGUGCUGGAACGUUAAGGGGACGGGUUAGCCGCAAGGCGAAGCUCAGAACUCAAGCGCCAGUAAACGGCGGUGGUAACUAUAACCAUCCUAAGGUAGCGAAAUUCCUUGUCGGGUAAGUUCCGACCUGCACGAAUGGCGUAACGACUUCUCAGCUGUCUCAACCACAGGCUCGGCGAAAUUGCACUACGAGUAAAGAUGCUCGUUACGCGCGGCAGGACGGAAAGACCCCGGGACCUUCACUACAGCUUGAUAUUGGUGUUCGGUUCGGCUUGUGUAGGAUAGGUGGGAGACGUGGAAGCGGGCACGCCAGUGUUCGUGGAGUCGCCGUUGAAAUACCACUCUGGUCGAAUUGGAUGUCUAACCUGGGUCCGUGAUCCGGAUCAGGAACAGUGUCAGGUGGGUAGUUUAACUGGGGCGGUUGCCUCCCAAAGAGUAACGGAGGCGCCCAAAGGUUCCCUCAGCCUGGUUGGCAAUCAGGUGUCGAGUGCAAGUGCACAAGGGAGCUUGACUGUGAGACCGACGGGUCGAGCAGGAGCGAAAGCUGGGACUAGUGACCCGGCACCGGCAUGUGGAAGCGGUGUCGCUCAACGGAUAAAAGGUACCCCGGGGAUAACAGGCUGAUCUUCCCCAAGAGUCCAUAUCGACGGGAUGGUUUGGCACCUCGAUGUCGGCUCGUCGCAUCCUGGGGCUGGAGUAGGUCCCAAGGGUUGGGCUGUUCGCCCAUUAAAGCGGUACGCGAGCUGGGUUUAGAACGUCGUGAGACAGUUCGGUCCCUAUCCGCCGUGCGCGUAAGAGACUUGAGAAGAGCUGUCCCUAGUACGAGAGGACCGGGACGGACGAACCUCUGGUGUGCCAGUUGUACCGCCAGGUGCACUGCUGGUUGGCUACGUUCGGCAGGGAUAACCGCUGAAAGCAUCUAAGCGGGAAGCUCGCUUCGAGAUGAGGUCUCUCACCGGGUUCAACCGGGUAAGGCCCCCGCCCAGACCAGCGGGUUGAUAGGCCGGAAGUGGAAGCACCGCGAGGUGUGGAGCUGACCGGUACUAACAGGCCGAGGGCUUGACCAC